CCUACGGGAUGCAGCAGUGAGGAAUAUUGGUCAAUGGCCGCAGGGCUGAACCAGCCAAGUCGCGUGAGGGAUGACGGUCCUAUGGAUUGUAAACCUCUUUUGUCAGGGAGCAAAGGGCGCCACGUGUGGCGCUUUGCGAGUACCUGAAGAAAAAGCAUCGGCUAACUCCGUGCCAGCAGCCGCGGUAAUAGGGAGGAUGCAAGCGUUAGCCGGAUUUAUGGGGUUUAAAGGGUGCGCAGGCGGAAUGUCAAGUAAGCGGUAAAAUUUCGGGGCUCAACCCCGUCGUGACGUUGAAACUGGCGUUCUUGAGUGAGCGAGAAGUAUGCGGAAUGCGUGGUGUAGCGGUGAAAUGCAUAGAUAUCACGCAGAACUCCGAUUGCGAAGGCAGCAUACCGGCGCUCAACUGACGCUCAUGCACGAAAGCGUGGGUAUCGAACAGGAUUAGAUACCCGAGUAGUC
rnacentral:rRNA from 1 species